rnacentral:rRNA from 1 species
UACGUAGGAGGCAAGCGUUGUCCGGAGUUACUGGGCGUAAAGCGCACGCAGGCGGUCCCAUUAGUCUGUAGGGACAGGGCACGGCUCAACCGUGUCAGGCUUACGGAAACUGUGGGACUUGAGGGCUUCAGAGGGAUGGGGAAUUCCCGGUGUAGUGGUGAAAUGCGUAGAUAUCGGGAGGAACACCAGUGGCGAAGGCGACUAUCUGGGCUGCAACUGACGCUGAGGCGCGAAGGCUAGGGUAGCAAACAGG